rnacentral:lncRNA from 1 species
AAAAACAGAGGGGAACGCACUAAAUCUUGGUUACUCUUCCCACCAGCCAGUGUGGCCAGGGGACCUUGGGUCAUGGUCCAGAGCACGGAGGCAUUCGAAGAGCCUCUUAGUGCCAGCCAAGGGCAGGUCACCUCCAAGACUAAAGAGACCUCAAUUUACACCCAAAGCUAAAAACAAAAAGCCACAAACAAAACCCAAGGCUGCGUUUGAAGCGACAGCACAGUACAAAAGCAAAAGUCUGAAUUGUCCGUGGCGCUCUCUCUUCAACUGGGUGCCUUUAAGAAAACAGAAGAGAAGCAAGGCAGCUUUGAAACAAAGCUGGUUGACAGGCAGAGAAGCAGAGGUCUCAAGAAAAUUUUGCAUUGCUAAUUGGUCUCAGUUCAGAGUCCAGCCAUCCAGCCAUCAAAAGCCUCCACCGUUUUGCUUUUUAAUGAGAGAUUUUCAUACAUUAACAGUUCAUUAAGUCUGUAGCCAAGUAAUUUUUAGACCCAUUUAAAAUGCAUAUGCCAAGCGGCCUUGACUCUCGCCUGACUUCUUAAGAUAAAAGUUGACACAGCCCCGCGUGGCCUGCUCUGGCUGUCUGCUUCACCUCAGUGAUUGACCUGGAAGAGCAGGGGAGGGGGGAGAAAACUGCAGCAACUGGGAGAUUAAGCAACUUUACCAGAGUCAAAUGGAAUGAACCUGGACCCAAGCUUCCGUGCAGAAGACAACAAAGCCAGCCAAGAGGAGGAGAAACCGUUCCCAGGGCAUUUGCACACACAAAAAGUCACUACACACUUUCUUCCUGGAAUGGAGAUAAGAUGGAAAAGGAGGGAUGAGAGCAGAUGGAGAAGAGUGAAAUGAACAUUGCAGUCAAUGCUACCCACGCCUGUACACAGGGAAAGGAGCGUAGAACCAUGUCUGUACAUAGAUCACUCACUUUCAUAAAUGUUGUGAACUAUAAUAUCUGACUGAGCAGCUCACUAGGGCCUGGAGGUCCCAGCUGAACUAGAGCCCCAUUAUGCCAGGCACUGUACAGACGCUCAUGCCUUGUCUACAUGAGAAAGUUGCACUGGCUUAAUUUAAAUCAGUCUUGAAACCAAUAUAGUUAAACCGGUGCUAAACCCUGUGCAAACACCAUUAUUUCAAUUUAACUUAAACCUGUUUCCAGGCUAUUUAAACUAAACUGAAAAAGCCACUCAUAUCAAAAUAGGACAGAGGUUUGCACCAAAAUAAGUGUAUUGGUUUAAAUUCAGACCUUAAGUUAUAAAGUUUGGUAAGGCCAUAGUAUGUGACAUGCCCUGCCCUGAAGAGUUUACCGUCUAAACAGCUAAAGACUUGUAGGGAAAGUAACUUGACCAAGAUCAAUAUAGUAGAUCAGUGGCAGAGCCAGUCUUGCAGGCUAGUGCUCUUGCCAGUGGCUCACCCUGCCUCUCAAGUGAAGGCUCUAAGACAUCUCAUGUAAUAAGGUGCUAUUUAGCUGG